rnacentral:lncRNA from 1 species
AUGCCCAAAAUUUCUCCAAAAAUCCCAAAAUUUCGCCUAAAAAUCCCAAUUUUUCCCCCAAAAUUUCCAUUUUUUCCCAAUUUACCCCCAAAAAACCCCAAAUUUGGACCUAAAAUUCCCAAUUUUCCUCCAAAAUUCCCAAAUUUCCCCAAAUUCCCGUUUUUUUUUCCCAAAAUCCCCGGAUUUUGCCCCAAAUUUCUCCCCCAGGUUCUGCGGGAGGCGCUGGAGCCGAGCCUGCCCCCCCCCAGCUCCGAGCUUUCGCUGGAGCCGCUGGAGGAGGAGCCAAGCAUCCCGCCACUUCCGGCUCCGCCCCCCGAGGCUCUCCCGGAAGUUCCGGAAGCGCCGGCGAUCGACGUCCGCAGGCUGAUCCUUGACCACGCCCAACUUCCGGAAGGGGCGGAGCUUGCCGCCAUCUUGGACCCGGCUUGGCCACGCCCACUCGUGGCUCGGGCCUUCGCUCUCUGCCUGGGUAAGCCACGCCCCCUUUUCCCUUAAGCCCCGCCCCUUUAGACACUUUUAAGCCC